ACGAAUUGACCACCCUUGUCGGUAAUUUUAUUAUCCUCCUCGGUCUUGAGCCUUGCUAUGAGUUCCUCCAUCGUCCAUUUGGCAACCGAUUUCUUGUGCCUUAGGUAGUGUUUGAACUCCGUCCAACUCGGUGGAAGCUUUCCAAUUAUGGAAGCCACUUGAUAGGAUUCGCUCACCUCAUGACCCUCGGCGAGAAUAUCGUAGAUCAUGAGUUGGAGUUCAUUCACUUGCUCACUCACAGUUUUGCUAUCGACCAUUCGAUAAAAUUGGAAUU
rnacentral:lncRNA from 1 species